rnacentral:rRNA from 1 species
CUUGGUCAUUUAGAGGAAGUAAAAGUCGUAACAAGGUUUCCGUAGGUGAACCUGCGGAAGGAUCAUUAUCGUAGGGCUUCGGCCCUGUCGAGAUAGAACCCUUGCCUUUAUGAGUACCGUCCGUUUCCUCGGCAGGCCCGCCUGCCGAUGGACCCAAAACCAAACCCUUUUAUUACCUGUAUCAGUCUGAAAAAUAAACAAAAAUUAAAACUUUCAACAACGGAUCUCUUGGUUCUGGCAUCGAUGAAGAACGCAGCGAAAUGCGAUAAGUAGUGUGAAUUGCAGAAUUCAGUGAAUCAUCGAAUCUUUGAACGCACAUUGCGCCCUUUGGUAUUCCUUAGGGCAUGCCUGUUCGAGCGUCAUUUAAACCUUCAAGCUCAGCUUGGUGUUGGGUGUCUGUCCCGCCUCGGCGCGGACUCGCCUUAAAUUCAUUGGCGGCCGGUACAUUGGCUUCGAGCGCAGCAGAAACGCGAACUCGUUGACAAUGGAUUGGCUCCCAGAAGCUAUUUUCUAUUUUUGACCUCGGAUCAGGUAGGGAUACCCGCUGAACUUAAGCAUAUCAAUAAGCGGAGA